rnacentral:rRNA from 1 species
UACGUAGGGUGCGAGCGUUGUCCGGAAUUAUUGGGCGUAAAGGGCUCGUAGGCGGUUUGUCACGUCGGGAGUGAAAAACUCGGGGGCUUAACCCCCGAGCCUGCUUCCGAUACGGGCUGACUAGAGGUAUGCAGGGGAGAACGGAAUUCCUGGUGUAGCGGUGAAAUGCGCAGAUAUCAGGAGGAACACCGGUGGCGAAGGCGGCAUCCUGGACCGACACUGACGCUGAGGAGCGAAAGCCAGGGGAGCAAACGGG